CCAGAGAACUUAGCAGAGAUGCUUUGGUGCCUUCGGGAACUCUGAGACAGGUGCUGCAUGGCUGUCGUCAGCUCGUGUUGUGAAAUGUUGGGUUAAGUCCCGCAACGAGCGCAACCCUUAUCCUUUGUUGCCAGCGGUCCGGCCGGGAACUCAAAGGAGACUGCCAGUGAUAAACUGGAGGAAGGUGGGGAUGACGUCAAGUCAUCAUGGCCCUUACGAGUAGGGCUACACACGUGCUACAAUGGCGCAUACAAAGAGAAGCGACCUCGCGAGAGCAAGCGGACCUCAUAAAGUGCGUCGUAGUCCGGAUUGGAGUCUGCAACUCGACUCCAUGAAGUCGGAAUCGCUAGUAAUCGUAGAUCAGAAUGCUACGGUGAAUACGUUCCCGGGCCUUGUACACACCGCCCGUCACACCAUGGGAGUGGGUUGCAAAAGAAGUAGGUAGCUUAACCUUCGGGAGGGCGCUUACCACUUUGUGAUUCAUGACUGGGGUGAAGUCGUAACAAGGUAGGCGUACGUGU
rnacentral:rRNA from 1 species